GACGAACGCUGGCGGCGUGCUUAACACAUGCAAGUCGAACGGAAAGGCCCUGCUUUUGUGGGGUGCUCGAGUGGCGAACGGGUGAGUAACACGUGAGUAACCUGCCCUUGACUUUGGGAUAACUUCAGGAAACUGGGGCUAAUACCGGAUAGGAGCUCCUGCUGCAUGGUGGGGGUUGGAAAGUUUCGGCGGUUGGGGAUGGACUCGCGGCUUAUCAGCUUGUUGGUGGGGUAGUGGCUUACCAAGGCUUUGACGGGUAGCCGGCCUGAGAGGGUGACCGGCCACAUUGGGACUGAGAUACGGCACAGACUCCUACGGGAGGAAGCAGGGGGGAAUAUUGCACAAUGGGCGGAAGCCUGAUGCAGAAACGCCGCGUGCGGGAUGACGGCCUUCGGGUUGUAAACCGCUUUAGCCUGUGACGAAGCGUGAGUGACGGUAAUGGGUAAAGAAGCACCGGCUAACUACGUG
rnacentral:rRNA from 1 species